ACCACUACCCAAAGAAACUGCAUGUAUAUCUUCAUCUUCGCAUCUUCCUCUUCUUUACGUCUCCAACUGCUCGCCUCCUCUAAAACAAAAACUGCUCUCAUAUAUCUGGCUCUUCACUGCUAAUUGCUUCGUCUCAAUUAAAAUUUUCUUCCACACCCUCAUCGUUUUACUUAUAUUCGUUUUUGUUUGUGUUACAAAACAGAUCUGAUUCAUUGCAGCAGGCUGCUUGACGUCGAGUUCGGUACAUCCUGCCUUCCCUCUCUUAAUUGUCUGCCUUUCUCUUAUUUUCUUAGAUAUUGAACAUAUACGUUCCUCAGUUCACGAGCACUUUUGGCAAAACUUGCUUUGGUUUCAAUUGGUGGUUGUGCAGCAUUUUGAGAUCGAUUCAAUGGUUGGUACACUAAUUAACUGAUUUAAGAAGUUGCGUAUAUAUGAAAAGAGUGCUUUGAGAUGCAAAAUCCUUUAUUGAAGAACAAUCUGUUGGUAAGCAAUUUGAUUAUUAAGAUUUGAUUAUUAGUGUUCUGUGUUAAGGAAAUACAAAAAGUUAUAUUUAGUUUACUAAAUGCUUGAUAGAUGACGAUUUUGACAAGAAUGACAAAUUUUAGGAAAUCUGUUUUCAUUUAGUUUAUCAAUUUGUUAUUUUUCCUUAUCAAUCGGUUCUAAUCUUACCUCCUUUGUGAAUGGUUUGUUGUUGGUGUUUAUCGCAGGUGUUAGUUCAAAGAGAAAACUGUAAAGGGGAAAAGAAAGACAUAUAUAUGGAGUAUUGUGAAGGGGAAAAAUAAAGACCAUUUGGCGCCCAUAGCAUUUUUAGUAUCUUCAAUCUUGAUUCUUCAUGAAUUCAUGUUCUUUUUAUGCAUGCAAGGCAUUUCGAAAGGACUUCAGUAUGUUAAAUAUCUAUAUAUUCUCACCUACCUAAUCUAAUUUGCAG
rnacentral:lncRNA from 1 species